GCGUUGACUCCAAUUGAACCGCAGGCUUCACCCCUUGUGGUGCUCCCCCGCCAAUUCCUUUAAGUUUCAUACUUGCGUACGUACUUCCCAGGCGGCAGACUUAACGGCUUCCCUGCGGCACUGCAUUGGCCACAAGCCAAUGCAUCACCGAGUCUGCAUCGUUUACAGCUGGGACUACCCGGGUAUCUAAUCCGGUUUGCUCCCCCAGCUUUCAUCCCUCACCGUCGAACGUGUUCUGGUACACCGCCUUCGCCACAGGUGGUCUUCAAUAGAUCAAAGGAUUUUACCCCUUCCUAUCGAGUACCGUGUACCUCUCCCACUCCCUAGCUGCACAGUAUUUUCGGCGGCCUAUACGUUAAGCGCAUAGAUUUAACCGAAAACUUAUGCAACCGGCUACGGAUGCUUUAGGCCCAAUAAACCUCCUGACCACUCGAGGUGCUGGUUUUACCGCGGCGGCUGACACCAGAACUUGCCCACCCCUUAUUCACCAGUGAUUCUACAACUGACAAAAGACUCCUUUAGCAGGAGACACUCGGAUUAACCUUGUCGUGCUUUCGCACAUUGCAAAGGUUUCUCGCCUGCUGCGCCCCAUAGGGCCUGGGUCCGUGUCUCAGUACCCAUCUCCGGGCCCCUCCUCUCAGAGCCCG
rnacentral:rRNA from 1 species